rnacentral:misc_RNA from 1 species
AUUUACUAAUCUUACAUCUUACUAAUGCUAGAUUUAAAACUAUUCCAUUUGACUUUUUCAAGUUCUGUUAUUCCUCCUUGCCCGCAGUAGGAAAGAGUGUUCUAGUACGGAUACGGACUAGAAGUACUAUACUUUGAGAUCCUUCCGGCUCUCGCAUGUAAUAGUCAUAGUCCGCAGUGGUAUAUCCCUUUGAAACUGUAGCAAGCCCAAUCUCGUAUCAAGCUUUAUGUGGUAUAAUCCCUGUCUUUCUCCAACUAGUCCAUUAGUUGGUCUAUAAUCUCCUUCGUGCCGUCAGUAAGAUUGAAAUCCCUCACUCCGUUCAGAAUAAAGCAAUGUAAUUCAGGACCUUUCCAGUCAGAUAGUUCGUUUAAGCAAUAGUACUUCUAAGUAGUAGCUCGCCGUCUCUAUGCAGCGAGUGGAGUGCAAGGGCAUAAGUAAAGCACGGACUCGGAACGAGACAUGCUGCUCAAG